rnacentral:lncRNA from 1 species
CCGGGCUCCAGGCACCGCCAAGGAGCGCCUCCUGCGACUGAGCGCCCAAGCGCCGAGGUGGCUCUCGCCACUUUCCCGGCGGGUGCAGCUCCGCCCAGCCAGGGAGGAGGAGCGCGCGCCACCGCUUCUCCAGUUCCCACGCCCCGGAGUCCACCGCUGCUUGCCGCGCAGAGUUUCUCUACGUUGCCCAGACUGGUCUCAAACACUUUGGCUGGAGAUCCGCCUGACUCGGCCUUCUGAAGUGCUAAGAUUACAGGCGUGAGCCGCCAUACCUGGUCGCUGUUUCAUAUUAUAUAUGCAAGAAGUAGAGAAAUCAAAUCUAAUAAAAAUAAAUGGACCUCAGUUCACUUUUGGACAGCAGAAAAAGCAAACUGUGGAAAGCAGAAUUCUACAAUGGCACGCUGGUUCCCACCCCUUGGUGUACAUGCUCUGCAUGAAGUGAGCAGGACCUGUGAAUAUAAUGGGAUAAUCACUCCUGUGAUUACAUUAUGUUAUAUGAUUCCAUUCCCCUCCUGGCUUUGAAGAAGUGAGCUGCCAUGUCAUGAGAACACCAGGUGGCUAGGACCUGAAGAUAGCCUCUAAGGAGCUGAGGAUGUCACCCUGCUGACAGCCAGCAAGGAAAUGGGUACCUCAGUCCUAUAGCUGCAAGGAAUUGAAACCUGCCAACAACCUGAAUGAACUUGGCAGAGGACUCUGAGCUUGUGAUGAGAACACAUCCCCAGCUUGAAAUCAAAUCGACAUAUUGAUUUUAGCACUGUGAGAUACUGAGCUGAGAACACAGUUCAGCUGUUCCUGGACUUCAGAACCACAGAACUGAGAUGAUAAAUGAGUGGUGUUUCAAGUUGCUAAGUUUGUGGUCAUUUGCUUACAGUAAUUGUAAACUAAUACACAAGUGUAAGUUUGUUUUCUUAAAGAAGAAAAAAACGGGGAAGGAGGUAAGUGUUAAAGGAUCAAAACUCUGACAAAAGGCUGGUUGCAGAACAUGACAGGUUGUUGCACUGGAAACUAUUUGUCAUGCAAGUUUAUGUUAAAAUAAGUAGCUUUUGAGGACUUUCAUUUUUGGUCUUGUAAACAUGCCAUUUAAUAUUGUCCAACUGAUAAUACUUUUUGCAAACAGAAACUGUUAAAACCUUUAAAGCAAAUAUUACUGUAGAGAAGAAGUAAUGUGUUAUGAAACUGUGAGGAUACUAAGAAGGAUCCUACUUAAGUUUCUUCAGCAUAAAUAAACUUGAGCGUUUCGACCACUGUUACUGAGAAUGAAAUUAUUUCUUAAUCACUUUUAAUGAGGUAAAAUUUACAUACGAUAAAAUGCACCAAUUUUAAAGUAUAGUUUAAUGAGCUUGCACAGAUGUAAAUAUCUGUUUAACUUCUACUUAAUCAAGAUAUAGAAUAUUUCCACAAUGCCAAAAUUGCCAUUGACCCCCUUCCCCUUCUUUCACCCAACUGCAGACCCCAGGUCACCACCAACCUACUCUUGCUCAAUAUAGAUUUAAUGUGAUGUGUCUUUUCUAGAGUUUUAUGUCAAUAGAAUUGUACACUAUGCACUCUUCCAUGCCUGGCUUUCUUUGCUCAGCAGAAGGUGUUUAGAUUAAUUCAGUAGUUCAUUUCUUUCUAGUAAUGAAUAGGAUCACAUUAUACAUUAUACCACAGAGUGUGCAUCCAUUACUUUGUUGAUUGAUAUUUGGGUCAUUUCCAGGUUUUGGCUAUUGUGAAUAAAACUGCCUUGACUAUUCCUGUACAAGUCUUUGUAUUAAGGAACAUACGUUUUAUUUUCUCUUGAGGAAGUUCCUAGCAAUAAGAUUGCUGGGUCAUAUGGUAGGUAUAUAUUUAGCUUUAAAAGCAACUAAGUGCUUUCCAAAGUGACUGUACAAUUUAACAUUCCUACCUGAAAUGUAAGAGAAUUCCAGUUGCUCCACAUUCUUGUCAACCCUUGGUAGCAUCAGUCUCUUUAAGAAUUCUAAUGGAUAUGUAAUAUGGACUAUAGGUUUAAUUUGCAUUUCUCUGUUGACUAAUGAUGUUGCACAACUUUUCAUAUGUCUAUCAACCAUUCUUGCAUCUUCUUUUAUGAAAUGUCUGUUCAAAUCAUUUGUCCACUUUUUAUUGUGUCAUUUUAUUCAGUUGUAAGAGUUCUUUACAUAUUCUGGAAACAAGUCCUCUGUCACAUAUAUAGGUACUUUGAAAAUCUGUGCUUUGCCUUUACAUUUUUUUAAUGGUAACUUUUUAAGAGUAGAUAGUUUUGGUUUUGAUGAAAUUCAACUUAUCAGUUUUUCAGUUAUAGUAUGUAUUUUUAUGACCCAUCUAAGAAGCAUCUGUCUACCCAGAGUUGCAAAGAUAUCCCUUUUCUUACUAGAAAUAUUAUAGUUUUAUUUACCAUUGCUUCUAUGAUACAUUUUAAGUUAAUUUUUGUGUAUUAAAUGAAUAAAAAGUUGAAGUUCACUUUUCUCUGUAUGGAUAUUCAGUUCUUCCAGUGUUAUUUUUUUAAAAACACUAUCCUCUCCCUGUUGAAUCACCUUUGUUAGAAAUCAAAUGACUACAUAUGUGUGGGUUUCUUUCUGGGCUCUACAUUACAUUCCUUUCUAUUGACUUUUCAUCUAUUCUU